rfam:Ovis aries breed Texel chromosome 5, whole genome shotgun sequence.
UCCCUUGUGGCCCAGUGGCUAAGACUCUGCACUCCUAAUGCAGGGGACCUGGGUUCGAUACCUAGUCAGGGAG